GGGUCAGUAGGUUGGUCGUGCCACCGGUACGUACUGGUCUCACUGAUUCCUCCUUCCUGAAGAACCGUAAUGCCAUUAAUUUGGUGUUGCAGGGAAACAGGACUGUUACUUUGAAAAAAUUAGAGUGUUUAAAGCAAGCUAACGCUUGAAUACAUUAGCAUGGAAUAAUGAAAUAGGACGAUCGAUCCUAUUUUGUCGGUUUCUAGGGUUGACUUA
rnacentral:rRNA from 1 species